rnacentral:rRNA from 1 species
GUAUAAGAGAAAGCAGCCGCCGCGGGAAUACAGAGGGUGCGAGCGUUAAUCGGAUUUACUGGGCGUAAAGCGUGUGUAGGUUGUUGUUCAAGUCAGUUGUGAAAUCCCUGGGCUCAACCUGGGAACUGCUUCUGAGACUGAACGACUAGAGUACGGUAGAGGGUGGUGGAAUUUCCGGUGUAGCGGUGAAAUGCGUAGAUAUCGGAAGGAACAUCAAUGGCGAAGGCAGCCACCUGGGCCUGUACUGACACUGAGACACGAAAGCGUGGGGAUCAAACAGGAUUAGAUACCCCGGUAGUCCCUGUCUCUUAUAC